rnacentral:lncRNA from 1 species
CCCUUCUUCUCCCCUUUUAUUAAGUACUCUACUGUCAUCAAGGGUUAGUAAUGAUCUCAGAUGCUCUAAGAAAUCUUUGGAGACAUUCUCAAGCUUCAGAGACCUUCCUCUCACUAAUUUCUCAUGAGAGUAACCGUCAGGACAAAUCACUUGGCAUUUAGCACCUUAUCUCGUGAUGUAUUCUUAUAGAUUCCUCCACGUGAAAAUGCCCUCCACAUAAUAUACCAUGAGUCUCAGAGAGGCACAAGAGAUAGGGAUAUUGCAAAGAGGCUGCAAUAUCCUUCACGACAGGAUCUCAACUCCAAAUGGAAAAAGAGUGUUCUGCAACCUCCACAAUGUAAAAUGAAAGUUAAUGUAUGGGAAAUAAAGCCUCCUGAUUUUAGCUACAAACUGUAUACUUCUUUGAGAAUUCCAGAAAGACCAUCAAAACCAAUUAAGGAAGAAAAAAGGAGGAAAAAAAUCAGUUUUCCAGAAACAAUGCUUCACUUGCCCAGCAUAAGGAAUCAUCCUAAGGAGGUCACAGCUCCUAAAUUUAUAACUACAUUUCCACGUCUGGAUUUACAAAAAGCAAAGUUAAUGUUUGUGAAGAGUGGACAAUAUCCAAGGGGUGUAUAUGUCAAUCCCAAACCACAUGACUUUCGACAGUACCAACCUGGUUUACCAAACUUUGAGACAACUUAUGAAAAGGACCCCUUUGGAUUAAAAUUUAAAUCACAACACUUAAGUACAGUACAUGGGUACCAGUUACCGAAAGAUAAUAAACAGAAGAAUACUACAGAAAGAUUUAUCACCCACAAGCAUCGUGAAUGCACCUGGGAUUCAAAACUAAUUUUGACGAAAGCCCCAUGGCCUGUUAGAUCUGCUUCAUAUACAAGACAUAGAAGGCAGCGUGAUGCAUACAGUGCAUUUAUGGAUCGUGUGGAAGAAAAGUUUACAAAGAUAUGCAAGAGCAGAUAGCUGAUGGACCAAAACAGCAUAGGGCUUCCUGAACUCUGGCCUGAAUGUUCAUCUCCCGUGCAUUUCCCAGUGAGAACAUUGAUGAAUUCUGGCACCUUCCUGGAUUCUACAGAAAUCUGCACUCUCCCAGAGACAUGAGAAAGUGCUAAAACAACAAAUGAAAGUUGCAUAAUUUGAAAUUCCCUUGUUACCACAUGGAUCAGAAUCCAAUCAUCAGGCUUUUGAUUUAGUUUGUGAAAGUUAGAUCUUGCAACUAUGAGUGGAAAUGCUGAUAAUGUGCUUUCUGUUAAUGUCCAAAGUUAAAGAGAUGCUCUAGUCUCAGGUAAAGCUAAUGUGAGACAAACAACAAUAAUGCUUACUAAUUUUGACCACCAUGUUUCUCUAAGGCCAAAGAUUGCAAAUUUUAUCUGUUUGCAUCCUUCAUAGAAAUAAGAAUUCUCUGGAUAUAGCAUACAUUCUACUAAAGGAUGACUGUUAUGCUGUGUGGGAAAGUAAUAGUUAAAAAUCAAAUAUUUUUACUUUAAAAAAUAGAGAACAAGGUAGCAACCAGAAUUGAAGUCAUUCAAAUAUAAAUGGGGCACUUUCCCAGAAGAUGUCAUCCAAAGACAAAAAAAUAGGAAAGUUUAAUUCAUGACACAGUGAAGUUCUUCUACGGUUUAAAUUGUUCCUGGAAAUAGAUUUUAUUUUCAGGAAUCAUAGGAUGCCAGGUGGUUAGUGAUAGUGUUUAUUUCUGAAAAAAAAAAGAAAAAGAGUAUAUGUAUGAGCUUUGUGUUCACAUAUACAAGGUGGCAUAGGUUGAAAUAAUGAACAUUUAUUUAGUAUGUUUAUGGCAUAUUGAAAUCAAUAUUUGAAUCUUCAUUUUUCAGUUUUUUCUAAUACACUUUAAGAAGCUUCUCUGAGACACUCAAGUAUAUCAAAAGAGAGAAGAUCUCCAAGUAACAGAAAUACUAAAUGUCCUUCUUAAAGAACACCAGGCUUGGAGAAUUUAUAGUUCCAACUAGAAGGAAAGGUCUGUCUUUUAACAUGUUAAAAUAAUUUUCUAAAUUUUUGUUUAAAUAUUUUGAGGGAAAGAAAACAAAUGACGUGAAACUUGUUUCUGAUCAAGAUUUGAUGAUUAUAAUUGAAAAUUAAUAAAAGGGGAGGGUAGGAUUUAAUGCUAUUGCCAGUUUUAUUGAAUGGAUUAUCCUAUCACCUUUCCAAUUUCACUAUGAAAACUACUGAAAUAAAGGCAAGUACGUAUUUAAUAGCUCUGUUGACAUAAGCAACAUUAAGUGGAAAGAUGAGGCAAUGAAAUUAAAUCAUUUCCCAAAGGAUAUUUUGC